CAAUAGCGUAUAUUAAAGUUGUUGCAGUUAAAAAGCUCGUAGUUGGAUUUGUGGCGUACGGUGUGUUCCGGGCACUUGUUGUCUGAGUAACCUGCUGUUGCCAUCCUUGGGUGGAACCUGUGUGGCAUUAGGUUGUCGUGCAGGGGAUGCCCAUCAUUUACUGUGAAAAAAUUAGAGUGUUCAAAGCAGGCUUAUGCCGUUGAAUAUAUUAGCAUGGAAUAAUGAGAUAGGACUUUUUUGCUAUUUUGUUGGUUUGCGCAAAGAGGUAAUGAUUAAUAGGGACAGUUGGGGAUAUUCGUAUUCCAUUGUCGGAGGUGAAAUUCUUGGAUUUUUGGAAGACGAACUACUGCGAAAGCAUUUACCAAGGAUGUUUUCAUUAA
rnacentral:rRNA from 1 species